rnacentral:rRNA from 1 species
AAUGAACGUUGGCGGCGUGGAUUAGGCAUGCAAGUCGAGCGAGAACUCCGCAAGGGGGGACAGCGGCGAACGGGACAGUAAUGUGUAGAUUAUCUGCCCUCAGGUCCGGGAUAGCUGCGGGAAACUGCAGGUAAUACCGGAUAACAUCUCCGGAUCAAAGGUGUGAUUCCGCCUGAGGAUGAGUCUGCAUCCUAUUAGCUAGUUGGUGGGGUAAUGGCCUACCAAGGCAUUGAUGGGUAGCAGGUGUGAGAGCACGACCUGCGUCAUUGGGACUGAGACACUGCCCAGACACCUACGGGUGGCUGCAGUCGAGAAUCUUCGGCAAUGGGCGCAAGCCUGACCGAGCGACGCCGCGUGUGGGAUGAAGGCCUUCGGGUUGUAAACCACUGUCAGAGGGGAUGAAAUGCAGGUGGGUUCUCCCAUCUGUUUGACAUAGCCUCAGAGGAAGGACGGGCUAAGUUCGUG